CUUUCACCAAUACCACAAUGUUAUGAUCCUUUUCCAGUAAGUCUUGAAGUUGGAUAGCGUUAGUUCUCUGAAUUUGCUCUUCUCCUUUAAUAUUGUGUUGGCUAUUCUGGGCCUUUUGCUCCUCCAUAUCAACUUUAAAGUCAGUUUGCUGAUACCUGCAAAAUAACUUGCUGAUCUUUUUUUUAAGACAGAAUUUUGCUCUUGUCACCCAGGCUGUAGUGCAAUGGCACAAUCCCGGCUCACUGCAACCUCUGCCUCCUGGGUUCAAGCGAUUCUCCUGCCUCAGCCUCCCGAGUAGCUGAGAUUACAGAUGCCCACCAGCACACCCAGGCUGUGAUGGGGACACCUGGAGGCUCCUUUGCAUAGAGUCCCGGCCAAAAACAGAUGGCAGACUCAGAAGAGUUCACUCAGGAAAAUCUAAUGGCCUACGUACUAAAGUCUGGACCAGGCUUAAGGACAGACACCAAGAAAGGGAUGCUGCAAGGAUUUGAGAUGAUGCUUUUAUUAAAGCAUCCAGUGCAACACUUGGCAAGAGACAGUGCAAACUCACAGGAAACUUUUUACCUCCUGACUUCAUCUCUUACCCCUUUAUCUGAUUCCUGCCCUGCAAGCUGGGUUUCUGAGUCUUCUAGCCCAAAAGGGCCCAGGGAGGUUUCCUGCCGCCACCCAAGGUGUCCUUCCCCACCCCAUCUCCCGACUGACAUUGGGACACUGAGACCCCAGUAGUUAGGGGUCCAUUGGGCCCCUCUCUGGCCCAGCCAAGUCUCUGACAGACACCAGCAUUUCCAAGAAAACCAGUUCACGGGGCUCCAUGUAGGAAAAGCAGGCCCUUUCAGGAGCUAGCACUUAGGCAGGAUUUCCAAAUUUUUUUUCCCCAAAUCUUGAUGAUCUUACAUUUAAAACAUGUAUCACCUUGCUAGUUUCUGGCAGCAGUGCCCAGGCACAGAGAUAUGGGAACUAGAGCUGCUGGGUCCUUACAUUCUCAGCUGAGGGAAGCCUCCGCCCUUCCCACACACUGCUUUGCAGGGCAGCACCCCCAGCGCUUACCCACCAGGGAACCGGGCCUGUUCAGUGCUCUCUGAGCAGCUGUCCCAGAUUCCCCCAGAAGGCCAGGAAUGGGUAGGCUGAGGUCCGAGGGCCAAUUCUCAGAGACAGAGCAAACCCUGCCUGAUUCUAGAGGGAGUUGCAGCUCAAACCCCUUGGAGACAGAAGAGGGAAGGAGAAUUAAAGCGUAGUAAGUGUGUCUAUGGACCAGGUCCUUUGGGAACAAUAUCUUAUUUAAGCCACAUAGCGGCCUUGGAAUAAAGAUCAUUAUAGCCAAUUUGCACCGAAAAAGCAAAAGAAAAAGACCCUGUAAAGUUAUCUUAUUCCAAGGUCACACCGCUGAAGGUGGCAGAGUCAGGGUUUGACCUAAUUCUGCUCACUACUUUCUGGCUGUGCAACCUUGGGUAACAUCCUUCCUCUCUCUGGGCUUCAGUUUCUAUAUCUGUGCAAUGUGGCACUAAAAAUACCACCUCAUGAGAUGCUCUGCAGCUUCAGUGAGAUAGCCCACGUCAAGCACUUGGCAUGGUGCCAGGCAUACAACACAUUUUUUGAAUGAAUGAGUGAGUGAAGGAAUGAAUGAUUGGGAGGCAACUCAGCUCCAGCCCCAUUUAAAACUGUAUUUCAUCCAUGAUUUGUGGAGCUCAUAUUGACACCAGAGUGUGCCAAGUUUCCCAAGUUUCCAUCAGUCUUCAUGAUAUCAGCCUGAGAAUUUUUCUUCACUGAAAGAACUUCUCCAACUCCACUAGUGAAAAUCCUGUCUGGCCAAUGGCCACCGACUCUGAGAGUCUUUGUGGGAACCCAGCAGCUGAAUGUAGAGACCUGCCUGACACUCUCAUUGCAGAACGUUCCACGUCCUAGCUAGGUGUACCCGUUCUUUAGCUCCUCUAAAAGCACUGCCUAUUGCUGGAGGCAAAAGACCAAGCCCCCAGAAUAACAGGAGCCCUGAAAAUAGCUUCCAUUCAGUGUGCCCCCUGAGGACAGACACCACCUUGCCUCACCACUGUGUCUUCAGGUUGCUGUGGGGUGCCUCGCACCCGAGAGAUGCUCAAUAACUGUUUGUGGAAUGAAUAGAAUCCAAAAAGAGUUGAACAUAAAUGUGCAGGACUUGCUAAUUCUUCUGUGUGCAGGCAACACUGGGGCUUCAGGGGGAUGCUGGUGCCCAGCAACAACUUGUGUGUGGCCCUGGGGUCUGUUUCCAGGACGGCGGGAUCCCCUGGUCUGUAUUUUGUGAAAAGAUGAGUUCCCUGGAUCCAUUUGACUGGGUUUCAUUGAAGGACAUUUGAAAAAGGAAACUGGGGAAGGCAAAUUAGCCUCCCUGGCUUCCUGCAGAGAGCACCUUUUAUGAGACUGUCAUUUCGAGUUUCCUCUUCCUCUUGUUUGGUUCACACAUUCCCACAGCCUCCCUCAGAGAACAGAUUGAACCCCUAUUUUCCUCAUUAAAGAUCACAUCAGUGCAAGGACAUCCUGUCUGGAUGGGUAGGAAGUGCCCCAGGAGAUGUCUAUCGUGCGUCUGGGCCCCACAGGAGCAAGCUUCUGGCUGCCAUCUCUUAGGAUCUCACAGCCUUUGGACCUUGCAACAGCACCUCUCCCCAGUGUUAAGCAGACCCAGGGCUGAUUGCCAGUCACUUCCAGAAGGAUGGAGUUCAAAGGGACAUCUGGAGCAAACAGACUUCGGGUGGCAGAAAUAGAAGCCCUACUUGGCAGGGUUUCUGAAGGUAACAUGAGUCAACAUAUGUGAAACACUUUGCAUGGUGCCUUGCCUUCGUAAGAGCCCCAUUAUGACAACUGUGAUCAUAACUACUUUACAUAAAGGCUUCUGACCCAGUGUCCAGGGCUUGCAGACACUGACAUGGGAAUGUGAUGCUGGAAGCUGCAGCUGCCACGUUGCAACCAUGAGGGGAUGAGCCAAGACCACACCAAUGUGCAAAGGACCAGAAAGAUGGAAGGGAUAUUCUGGAACUUUCGUAGCUCAGAGUUCUUGUAACGUGGGAGGAUAAAUGAACUCACUGCUUAAACCACUUCUAGGCAGGCCUUCUGUUAUUUGAAGCAAAAAGCAUUCCAGCAUUUCUAAACUUGAGAAAGACAUUUUGAAAAGUUGUGGGUCUGGGACUCUAAAACAGGUGUUCUUAGAGCCUCCCACUGCCUUUCUCUGGCCCUGGUGGUAACUGCAAAUCUUAGGAAGUCAUGGAAAGUUGCUGGGUCUGAGCCACACCUCACAUCCCAGCAUCUCAAGCCUCCAGGCAGAAACUGGUGAGUCACUGAGAUCUCGGGUGUCGUUCAGUGUGUUUGUCACUCCUUCCAUCAACGAAGUAGACUCUGGGGCCUACAGAGUGGCCAGCGCUGGAGAAGGUGAUGAGGAGGCAGAGCUAAAAAUGCAUGUCUCUGCUCAUGUGUUCAUUCAUGUAUUUAAUUAACACUUACCCAAAACAUCAAUAUCCCCCAAACUUAUUUUAAUAAAAUGUGGUGUUUGCUUUGUCAUCCUUCUGAAUAUGCCCUUCAGGCUUCAAUAUUCCAAAGUAGUCCAUGAAUGCAGAAAUAUUGGGAACCACCAAUUUGCGCAAGUCAUUAAAUCUUUCUGUGUCCCAGUUUCCUUCUCUGAGACAGCAGCUAGUUAAAUUUCGUCAGAUGGCCUCAUUGGCUCUGGCUAAGAAUCAAUAAGCAGUCAUGGUGUUAAGAGCCCUCCCUCAAGAAGUAUGCUACCACAGAGGGAGGUCUAAGCUGAGGUCUAGCUUCAUCCUUAAGGUCCCGUGUUCUGGAAUCCAGCGGACUUGGUUUGGAAUACUGACUCUGCCAAUUGUUUACAGAGUAAAUCUGGACAAAUUUGACUUUACUUCUCUGGCCCUCAGUAUUCACACGUAUGACUGGGAACACACAGCACCCAUCUCACAGGGCAUUAUCAGGAUUCACUGCUCUUAGCUAUGGUGAACUCUUGGCACAAGCAAACAAUAAAUAAUAGCUAUUUUAUUCUUGUUUUGUUUUUGUCACUGUUAGGGAAUCUCCAGUCGUAUUGAAACAUCUUCUAUGAAAGCCUCAGAAAACCCCCC
rnacentral:lncRNA from 10 species